rnacentral:lncRNA from 1 species
UGUUGACACGUCACAACAUGACAACACACACUGAGGCAAGUUGUUUGUUUAGCCAGGGCCUUUCUAGCCAUCCCUAUAUGUAUGUUUCCCUUCGUAAACCCCGUUGAGCCUUAGCCAUUUUAUUCAUUGUAAACCCCAUGUUAACGUUUAAGCAUUAUUCAUCAUGAACCCCCUGUUAACUUUUAAUCAUCCAUUUCCUUUUAUGUCAUAACUCGGUAUGAUUGUGUGAAUUGCAAGAUGUGCAAUAAAACUAAGUUUGGGGUGGAAAUC